AUUGAACGCUGGCGGCAGGCCUAACACAUGCAAGUCGAGCGGAUGAAGGGAGCUUGCUCCUGGAUUCAGCGGCGGACGGGUGAGUAAUGCCUAGGAAUCUGCCUGGUAGUGGGGGAUAACGUCCGGAAACGGGCGCUAAUACCGCAUACGUCCUGAGGGAGAAAGUGGGGGAUCUUCGGACCUCACGCUAUCAGAUGAGCCUAGGUCGGAUUAGCUAGUUGGUGGGGUAAAGGCCUACCAAGGCGACGAUCCGUAACUGGUCUGAGAGGAUGAUCAGUCACACUGGAACUGAGACACGGUCCAGACUCCUACGGGAGGCAGCAGUGGGGAAUAUUGGACCAUGGGCGAAAGCCUGAUCCAGCCAUGCCGCGUGUGUGAAGAAGGUCUUCGGAUUGUAAAGCACUUUAAGUUGGGAGGAAGGGCAGUAAGUUAAUACCUUGCUGUUUUGACGUUACCAACAGAAUAAGCACCGGCUAACAUCGUG
rnacentral:rRNA from 1 species